rnacentral:lncRNA from 1 species
CUUUGCUACAGCAGAUAGGCCGGGAGAACCCUCAGUUGCUGCAGCAAAUUAGCCAACACCAGGAGCAUUUUAUUCAGAUGCUAAAUGAACCGGUUCAGGAAGCUGGUGGUCAAGGUGGAGGAGGAGGUGGUGGAGGUGGUGGAGGUGGAGGCGGUGGAGGAAUUGCAGAAGCUGGCAGUGGUCACAUGAACUACAUCCAAGUAACACCUCAGGAGAAAGAAGCUAUAGAACGGCCCCUCUUACGCCUCUGGGUGCCUGGAAGAAUGAACAAAUGUGAAUUUUUUUGAGCGAGCGAGCGAGCGAGAGAGAGAGAGAGAGAAAGAAAAAGUCAACGAUAAAGGAUUUUAAGUGACAGAUUAAUCACAUCCCUGAUGGCUUCUGUGACCCUCACCUUUCAUAGUGAAUAAAAGAAUAAAAUCGG